rnacentral:rRNA from 1 species
UACAGAGGGUGCAAGCGUUAAUCGGAGUUACUGGGCGUAAAGGGCGCGUAGGUGGUUGUUUAAGUGAGAUGUGAAAGCCCUGGGCUUAACCUAGGAACUGCAUCUUAUACUGGGCAACUGGAGUACUGUAGAGGGUAGUGGAAUUUCCGGGUGUAGCGGUGAAAUGCGUAGAGAUCGGAAGGAACACCAGUGGCGAAGGCGGCUACCUGGACAGAUACUGACACUGAGGAGCGAAAGCGUGGGGAGCGAACAGG